rnacentral:ncRNA from 1 species
AGCUCUGGAAAGUCGGGGAACACCCCGCGCCGAAGGUGUAAGUGGGAAGAUAGUAUUCCUACGAGUCUCUCAGGCUUUAGACAGAGGGGU